CUUUCUCGAGCGAGUGGCGAACGGGUGAGUAACGCGUGAGGAACCUGCCUCAAAGAGGGGGACAACAGUUGGAAACGACUGCUAAUACCGCAUAAGCCCACGACCCGGCAUCGGGUAGAGGGAAAAGGAGCAAUCCGCUUUGAGAUGGCCUCGCGUCCGAUUAGCUAGUUGGUGAGGUAACGGCCCACCAAGGCGACGAUCGGUAGCCGGACUGAGAGGUUGAACGGCCACAUUGGGACUGAGACACGGCCCAGACUCCUACGGGAGGCAGCAGUGGGGAAUAUUGCACAAUGGGGGAAACCCUGAUGCAGCGACGCCGC
rnacentral:rRNA from 1 species